UACGAAGGGGGCGAGCGUUGUUCGGAAUCACUGGGCGUAAAGGGCGCGUAGGCGGCCUCUCUUGUCGCGUGUGAAAGCCCCGGGCUCAACCUGGGAACUGCCUUCGAUACUGCGGGUCUCGAGUCCGGGAGAGGUGAGUGGAAUUCCUAGUGUAGAGGUGAAAUUCGUAGAUAUCAGGAAGAACACCAACGGCGAAGGCAGCUCGCUGGGACGGUACUGACGCUGAGACGCGAAAGCGUGGGGAGCGAACAGG
rnacentral:rRNA from 1 species